rnacentral:rRNA from 1 species
UGGGGAAUAUUGGACAAUGGGCGAAAGCCUGAUCCAGCAAUGCCGCGUGAGUGAUGAAGGCCUUCGGGUUGUAAAGCUCUGUGGGGCGAGACGAAAGCCUACGUUCUAACAGGACGUAGUUUGACGGUAUCGCCUUAGCAAGCCCCGGCCAACUACGUGCCAGCAGCCGCGGUAACACGUAGGGGGCAAGCGUUGUCCGGAUUUAUUGGGCGUAAAGAGCUCGUAGGCGGUUCAGUAAGUCGGGUGUGAAACCUCCAGGCUCAACCUGGAGACGCCACCCGAUACUGCUGUGACUAGAGUCCAGUAGGGGAGCGUGGAAUUCCUGGUGUAGCGGUGAAAUGCGCAGAUAUCAGGAGGAACACCAGUGGCGAAGGCGGCGCUCUGGGCUGGAACUGACGCUGAGGAGCGAAAGCGUGGGGAGCGAA